rnacentral:rRNA from 1 species
GGGUGCGUAACACGUGAGCGACCUACCGACGAGAGGGGGAGUAGCCGGCCCAACGGCCGGGUAAUACCGCAUACGCUCAUCGAGCUGCCUGGCUCGAUGAGGAAACCUUUCGGGCUCGUUGUGGGGCUCGCGGCCUAUCAGCUAGUUGGCGGGGUAACGGCCCACCAAGGCGACGACGGGUAGCUGGUCUGAGAGGAUGGCCAGCCACAUUGGGACUGAGAGACGGCCCAG